rnacentral:rRNA from 1 species
UGAGGAAUAUUGGUCAAUGGACGGAAGUCUGAACCAGCCAUGCCGCGUGAAGGAUGAAGGCGUUCUGCGUUGUAAACUUCUUUUAUCUGGGAAGAAACCACAGAUUUCUAUUUGUGUUGACGGUACCAGAGGAAUAAGCACCGGCUAACUCCGUGCCAGCAGCCGCGGUAAUACGGAGGGUGCGAGCGUUAUCCGGAUUUACUGGGUUUAAAGGGUUCGUAGGCGGGCUAUUAAGUCAGAGGUGAAAUCUCCGGGCUCAACCUGGAAACUGCCUUUGAUACUAUUAGCCUUGAAUUAUGUUGAGGUUGGCGGAAUAUAACAUGUAGCGGUGAAAUGCUUAGAUAUGUUAUUGAACACCGAUUGCGAAGGCAGCUGGCUAAACAUAUAUUGACGCUGAUGCACGAAAGCGUGGGUAGCGAACA